GUCUAAAGCAUUUUAUUCACCAAAUAUUUUAUAAAAAUGUAACAAAUUAGUGAUAAAACAAAAGUUGUGUAAACGUACAUAAUUAACAUUUUUACAUUUGCUUGCAAAACAUUAUAUAUGCAAAACCGCUGUGGUACAAUACGUUUAUAUGCUAGCGAUGUGCACCUUUGUUUUCUAAUGAAAAACUCCUUGGUAGUGAAGGGCUUAGGAAUAGACAUUAUUUUCAGUUGUCAAUGCAUGUUUCAUAGAAGUAUGGAUUCCUAAAAUACAAUAUGCUGUGAUGUGAAAAAACACGGUAGCUCUAGCUUCAUUAUUUUCCUAUGAUGAAACCAAUUUGAUCUCUUUUCAGCAUCAUUUUUAAUUGAUCAUUUGUAUCACAAACAGGAGAUUAGUUUUGGAUGCAAAAUGGAAUCAAUGAAGCUCUCUGUUGCGAUCAUUGAGGAAACCUAUACAUUCCUUGUUCUUGUGUUACUUUUUGAUUUACGGUAUAUUAAAAAAAACUGAUGUAAUUUUGAAUUAAAUUACAUUUGAAUGAAUAGCUUUUGGAUGUUAGGAAUUCUAAUGGUAAUCCCACUUAGGUGCUGUAUUAUCAGAGCUGCAGUAGAUAGGCUAUGUUUCGGCUGCUGAGAGAAAUAUUUGUUUGGUCCAUAGGCUCACACAUGGUUUAACAAAAAAAAAAAUUAAGGGAUGAAGCGAUAUCACCAAAUACAAUGUUUAUGGAAUAUCCAGCUGCAGAAAAAAACUGAUAUACAGUUCUAAAACCUUGGUUGUAUCUAUGGAAAUAGAAUGCAUUAUUGUAGGUCCAACAAAUUUCUUUUUAAUGUUGCAUUCUGCUAUUUUUACACUAGAUGGCAAAUUUGCGUUCAGUGACUUACUUGGAUCAGCGAGGACUCGGCACAUUUGUUUGUGUAUCCUUGAUACUUUUGUUCAGCAAAAUUAAUUUGUU